GAUGAACGCUGGCGGCGUGCCUAAUACAUGCAAGUCGAGCGAACGGACGAGAAGCUUGCUUCUCUGAUGUUAGCGGCGGACGGGUGAGUAACACGUGGAUAACCUACCUAUAAGACUGGGAUAACUUCGGGAAACCGGAGCUAAUACCGGAUAAUAUUUUGAACCGCAUGGUUCAAAAGUGAAAGACGGUCUUGCUGUCACUUAUAGAUGGAUCCGCGCUGCAUUAGCUAGUUGGUAAGGUAACGGCUUACCAAGGCAACGAUGCAUAGCCGACCUGAGAGGGUGAUCGGCCACACUGGAACUGAGACACGGUCCAGACUCCUACGGGAGGCAGCAGUAGGGAAUCUUCCGCAAUGGGCGAAAGCCUGACGGAGCAACGCCGCGUGAGUGAUGAAGGUCUUCGGAUCGUAAAACUCUGUUAUUAGGGAAGAACAUAUGUGUAAGUAACUGUGCACAUCUUGACGGUACCUAAUCAGAAAGCCACGGCUAACUACGUGCCAGCAGCCGCGGUAAUACGUAGGUGGCAAGCGUUAUCCGGAAUUAUUGGGCGUAAAGCGCGCGCAGGCGGUUUUUUAAGUCUGAUGUGAAAGCCCACGGCUCAACCGUGGAGGGUCAUUGGAAACUGGAAAACUUGAGUGCAGAAGAGGAAAGUGGAAUUCCAUGUGUAGCGGUGAAAUGCGCAGAGAUAUGGAGGAACACCAGUGGCGAAGGCGACUUUCUGGUCUGUAACUGACGCUGAUGUGCGAAAGCGUGGGGAUCAAACAGGAUUAGAUACCCUGGUAGUCCACGCCGUAAACGAUGAGUGCUAAGUGUUAGGGGGUUUCCGCCCCUUAGUGCUGCAGCUAACGCAUUAAGCACUCCGCCUGGGGAGUACGACCGCAAGGUUGAAACUCAAAGGAAUUGACGGGGACCCGCACAAGCGGUGGAGCAUGUGGUUUAAUUCGAAGCAACGCGAAGAACCUUACCAAAUCUUGACAUCCUUUGACAACUCUAGAGAUAGAGCCUUCCCCUUCGGGGGACAAAGUGACAGGUGGUGCAUGGUUGUCGUCAGCUCGUGUCGUGAGAUGUUGGGUUAAGUUCCGCAACGAGCGCAACCCUUAAGCUUAGUUGCCAUCAUUAAGUUGGGCACUCUAAGUUGACUGCCGGUGACAAACCGGAGGAAGGUGGGGAUGACGUCAAAUCAUCAUGCCCCUUAUGAUUUGGGCUACACACGUGCUACAAUGGACAAUACAAAGGGCAGCGAAACCGCGAGGUCAAGCAAAUCCCAUAAAGUUGUUCUCAGUUCGGAUUGUAGUCUGCAACUCGACUACAUGAAGCUGGAAUCGCUAGUAAUCGUAGAUCAGCAUGCUACGGUGAAUACGUUCCCGGGUCU
rnacentral:rRNA from 1 species